rnacentral:lncRNA from 1 species
AGCCACCACCUCCAUGCGCACCACCCCGCCCAGCGCCCCCGUCCUCGCUGGCGUCCAAGCUCGCCUCGCCGGAGUCGUCGUUCGUCCCCGUGGUGAGCUCCUCUGUGCGCAGCCCCGUCGUGCAGCCAUGGCGUGCGACUAAGUCCCCGGCAGUGCGCUCGCGGCUUGGAGUCCUGGGCUCGGCCGAGCUCCCUUGCGCACGGCCAACCACCCAUGGCCCCCUGCAGAUCCUCGCAUCACCACGCUCCGAGCAGCCAUGGCUGGCGUAGCCUCCCGUUGCGCGGUCACGUCAAAGCUUCUGCGCACCCAUUCCUCCCUCCUCGUCGUGCACCGUCCCGAGGUGAGCCCCUUCCUCCUCCUCCUUUUCCCGUGACGAUCUCUCUUUCUCUCCAUUCCGGCGUGCUUGUCGCAGCAGGCGUGGCCAUCUCCAGCACCCUCCACGCUCCACUCCCUAGGCCGAAACCCCUGCGCGCGGCCACAGCUAGCGCCGCCGGCGUGCUCGUCGGGCCCAGCCUGACCCGCGCCCCCUUCCCCUGGCUGGCAGAACCGCUUGCCGUGCGUGCCGUUCAACAGAGAAGAAGUCAAAAGUGAAACCAUGCGUUGGCCCCACCUAUACGCCACAAUCCCGCGUUGUUUGUUUUUCCUUUGUUGCAUGCGUGAGGCCGUGCUUUCGUUCCUGCACCACGGAAAAGGAGAGCAGGCUCACAUCCACUCCAUCCGCAUGCACGUCGCAUGCAACCCAAAAGCAAAAUGCGCGUCAGAAAAUGAUCUUCCCCCGUAUGCAUGGCCAUGUGCCAAUAUUUCUAUUAGUUAUUGGUUGGAAAGGAUGCUUUAUGACUACCCUCUUUGUGGUCCUCAUUGUGGCCAUUUUCCAGCCAUAGAAUCAUGCCACGUCAUCGUUAAUCCGAGAUUAAUAAAUAUUUGAUUACUUUUGAGUUAUAAACCUGAUUUAUUCCGUUCUAUUCACGAUAUAUUCGUAUUAGCGUAGUCUACGUGUUAAUACUAAUGUUUCACCGUUAAGCAUGUUUUAUAUAAUUAAUUAAAUGUUAGCUGAAUUAACAUUGUUAAAUUAGCUCUCUAAUCAAAUCUAAUUAGUAGCUUUUAACUUGCCCCUUUUAAAUAAAUGCUGAUAGGGUCAGUACUAAAUUGGAUUUUUUUAAUAAUUGUAUAGUAUAAACAUGGCAUCUAUUUAAUGAUUUUCGUGUAUCAUUCGCGCGUGUCGCAGUGCUGUUCCUACGCUUGUGUCACGCGCCUUGCCACGUGUUGUUCGCGUGUAUCGCGCGUUAUCCGAGCGUGAGAUUAAAUCGUUCACUUAUAAUCACUCAUGUUAGUAACAUUAUUUUGUCGCGAUACGCGUUUUAAUUAAUUAGUUGAUUAUUUAUUUAUCUGAGUUAUUAAAUUAGUAGUUUACUUAAACUAUUUAUUGUUUUAGUCACGCUUUAUUUAUAUAUGUUAAUAGGAUUAUAUCUAUACAAAUGUUUUUGAAUUAAUACUUAUUUAGUAUAAACACGAUAUCUAAUUGUGAUUCUCGCGUGUUGCUACGCGCUGAAUCGCGUGCCUUUCGCGCGUUGCGCUGUUUCGCGUGUUGUCGCGCGUGUCGUCGCGCGAGCUAUUCGCAUGCGUUGCCGCGUGCCGUUUUUGCACAUUGUCGCUUGUCGCGCGCACAAUAUUAAAUCAACGGUUCAGUAAAUACACGUUAACUUUUAUGGUCGUUCGAUUUACUUUAUUCUAAUUGUUUUACCUUCACAAUAAUAUCGUGUACACGUUAAAAAUAUUAUUUUGUCGUACCUCAUGCUUUAGUUAAUUAUAAUUAAUUAAUUGUGGGCCAUGCUUUAGUAUAAACCGAUAAAUAUAGUGAUUCUCGUGUCGUCGCGCUGUUCGUGGGCAUCGUCACGCGCUAUACGCGCGUGCUGUUCGCCUGCGUCGUCGUGCGUCAUUCUCGCGGGUCGCGCUUGCUGUUCGCACGCGUUGUCACGCGUCGUGUGUGUGUUGAUCGCGCGUGCUAAUCGUGUGUGUCGUCGUUUGUGCAAGUCGUUAUUCACGCAAUUAAAUAAAGUAUCUUCCACUAGUACACAGAAGCUCUGUAGUGGCGGUUGAAAACGUAUUUAUACUGGCGUUUCUCAGUUCCGCCAGUGCUAGGGGCCAGUGGAAAUCAGCAUUUCCACUGGCGGUUAUUUUGGAACCACCAGUGAAAAGGGCAUUUUCACUGGCGGUUUUCUUAAGGAACCGCCAGUGAAAAGUGCAUUUUCACUGGCGGUUUUCUUAAGGAACCGCCAGUGAAAAUGUUUUCCCGCCUUUUUUCAAAAUUUCAAAUUGCUGUUCCUAUUGUACAUCCUUCACCUCCUCAAACUUCACAUGCUGUUCCUACAAUACUGAAUUAUAGAUAUAUUUAUUUACACACACACAAACAUAUAUAUAUAUAUAUAUAUCUAUAUUGAUAUUGAAAGCAACAUGGAAUUAAAUUCUAUCAUACAUUUAUAUACAUCAAAGUAUUCUGUUUACAACCAUAUAUGCUUCAUGCAUUCUAUACAUCAAAAGUUUUCACCUAAGUUAUAAUAACUAUCUCGGCUAAGAGAUAAUCUACUAAUUUCUGUUAGUAUUCUGAACUCUGGCAAAGCUAAUGUCCCGGAAGCAUCGUGAUAUUUUCCUUCUGCGGGAAUGACCUCUUUCAAUAUGAAUGUGCAGAGGUCCUCGACUAUGCCAUACAAUGCAGCUUCGGUCAAGUUCUCCGGGUUUCCUCGUUGAAAUUGCUGUAAAGGAAUUUUAUAAACAUCAUCUAUUUAUACUCAAUAAUAACACAUUUGCAUCUUUAAUGACAUAAAUACAUACUUGACUAUUACUAAUAAUACCUUGUCAGGGUUCGUGAUGUAUCGUCCGUUCACUCUCAUGAACUCGCACGCAUAGAAUCCACAUAGGACCGAUCCUUGUGGUUGCUUGUGGCACUACAUAACGGGAGAUUGGUUAUUUAGUUUCAACAUUGUGUAUGAUAUGUAUUCAUAAAAUCACAUACUUACCGGCCAGUGAUGAUGGAUGUCUAGUGGCACGCCUUUUUUCGACAGGUCGUACUUUCCACCUCUCAUCUUAUAGAAUCUAUAAGCCCUGUGAUCUCAAAUAGAAUCACCAUGUUAUUCUCAAAUUUUAAUCGAUAAAAGUAUGCAUGCAUAGAAAAGGCUUACAGCUCUAAGGUGCUGAGGAAUUCUGCAUAUGUCGAAGGGUCGAAGUUCAAGGAGUCGAGCACCAGCACCUUUCCAACCUUAGGAUAAAUGAGGAAGCAUAUCCAGUGGUCCCUGUACGAAUCAAAUUUGUGAUGCAUGUGUAUUGAAAUUAUUAAUUUUAUUUAUGCAAAAUCACACUUACUUAAA